rnacentral:rRNA from 1 species
UACAGAGGUCUCGAGCGUUGUUCGGAUUCAUUGGGCGUAAAGGGUGCGUAGGUGGCGCUGUAAGUCGGGUGUGAAAUCCUGAGGCUUAACCUCGGAACUGCAUUCGAUACUGCGGCGCUUGAGGACUGGAGAGGAGACUGGAAUUCAUGGUGUAGCAGUGAAAUGCGUAGAGAUCAUGAGGAAGACCAGUGGCGAAGGCGGGUCUCUGGACAGUUCCUGACACUGGGGCACGAAGGCCAGGGGAGCAAACGGG